CGCGUGGGUAACCGUGCCUUGUACUGGGGAGUAGCAGCUGGAAACGGCUGGUAAUACCGCAUAAGCGCACAAUGUUGCAUGACAUGGUGUGAAAAACUCCGGUGGUAUAAGAUGGACCCGCGUCUGAUUAGCUAGUUGGUGAGAUAACAGCCCACCAAGGCGACGAUCAGUAGCCGACCUGAGAGGGUGACCGGCCACAUUGGGACUGAGACACGGCCCAGACUCCUACGGGAGGCAGCAUG
rnacentral:rRNA from 1 species